UAGUACAUGCUAACGAUAUUCAAAAAGUACAUACCUCAAAGAAAACGAUGACGCGAGUUAUCGUCUCUAACGUUUGAGGACUACAAAAAACACUCGGAUUGUAGGCAACAGUUUACUUCCUGGGAUUAGUGACGUAGAUAAGACCAACAUUAUCAUAGUUCAGCCCUCUCUGCUUUGCUUGGGUACGCCCUCAAAGACGAGGGUGGGGAGCGCCGAGUCAGAAGAGAGCUAAAAUGGCGGAGGUUGUGAGUCCCUGCUUUGACUCUGUUUGCAAACUCUUGUUUCAUUGUUUAAGCGAUUAAAUCUCUCGAGUAGACGCUGUCUCUUUAGAUGCGAGGGAAAAUAGCACUUUAUGGACUUCCACAGAGGACAUCAUGUUUAAUACGGUUCCGGAAAAAUCCAGUCAGAAGUUGUUCAAGGAGUUUUCACAAUAACUGCUUCUCAUGAACCGAAGCUGGAUUUGCGCGACGUCUCCUCUUGAAAGUUGGAUUACUGUGCACUUCUGGAUCACAGGCUAUUCGCAGCUGGACACAUCCUUCUACAAUGUAUGCAAACAUGCAACAUCAUUACACACAGUACAAGGAGUCAGACUGGCAUAUGAGGAGCAAAGGAACCCAGGCAGUAGCAUCGUUUCACAAUGUUUCCAUCACCAUCAUCAGUGGAUGCCUUUGCUGUCCGUAGCCUGAGAUUUCAGAUUUGCAGCAAAAAAAAUUUGAUUUUCUCAUUUAUUGGAAUGCUGUGCAGGUAUUUGUACCUUGCAGCCAUCCAUUACAAUGUCACCAAGCCGUAACAAAAGCAGGAGAGGGAAAGUACAAGGCUAUGUUCCCAAAACACACAAGUGACAUACCUUAUGUGGAUGAUGUGAUCAGGCUUGUGUUUGAUGAGGUAUUUGAAGAUAAGCUGAAGGAAGCCCUGAUUCCAAUGGACCUGGCAUCACAGUUUGAGAGACCCUCAAAAGAGGACGUGAUUGCAUGCCAUCUUCAGUGCAGGGGUCGUCGAAAGCCAAAAUUGUGACCGAUCUGAUCAGGAAGCUCCAAGCGUAUCUGGAGAACAACACACGACAGGAUGAUAACCUUAUAGUGUCGUCUUAGAUAGCACCAGCUGACAAAGCUUUGAUAUGCCAUUUAUCUGAAUAGAUAGCUGUAAGAAAUGAAUUGAACAAUUUUUGAAACAAGAGCACAAUAUGGUUACUAAAGUAUGUUUAUUUGUAUAUUGUUUAACAUUUAAAUAUAUAUUUGUAAUAAAUAAAUAAAACUUUU